AAAAUUUCCUCUAGGUUUUCCUAAGAGAAUUUCACCCUCUUCCAUUCUGGGGAGAAAAGGUUAAAAUUAGGGCGAGCCCCGCAGGACUGGCAUUCCAGAUAGAGGGAGGCUGUCCCCAGAAAUAAGCUGGUUCCCACUAGGAUGGGCGGGGUGGGGCGGGGCGCCUCCAGUCCCAGCUCAGCCGAGGGGCUCCCGGGAGGCCUGCCCUCUCCAGUAUCUGCCAGGGGUCUGGUCCCAAGCUUUAAAAAUCUGAGCCGUGGCACUGCCUCCCGACCUCUCCUCUCCCAGCCAGUUCUGGCUGGCUUUUCAAAAGUGUGCAGUUGUCUCCUCCCUGCCCAGCCCCAUCCUCGCCCAGGACCAGCUGUGCGGCCGGCCGGCUUCACUUACGACGCGAGCGCACCGAGCGGCGCUCACAGUUCAGGCACCUUCGGCUUUCCGCUCUGCUCCCGGGGCCGCUUUGCAAAGUUGGGCAGCUCCAAGCGCACGCUUUGCCUCCGACUUCUCCCUCCCCCGAUUCCAGGCGCCCCCGCUUCCCACACUCCUUCCACCCGGAGCAGCCUGUCCCAGCGGGCUGGCGGCUCGCACCCCUGUCUAGUCUUCCUCCCCGACCAUGUUGUUCGGGGGCGUCCUGCUGGCGGUGCAAGCCCUGCAGCUUGCCGGUGCCCUGGACCUGCCCGCGGGAUCCUGCGCUUUCGAAGAGAACACCUGCGACUUUGACUCGGUGUUCGAGUUCCUGCCAUGGAUUUUAAACGAGGAAGGCCAUUACAUUUACGUGGACACCUCCUUUGCCAAGCAGGGGGAGAAAGCCGUGCUGCUGAGUUCUGAUGUACAGACUGAGGAAUGGAGCUGCCUCCGACUGGUCUACCAGAUAACCACAUCUUCAGGGUCUCCAUCAGAGCCCAGCCGGCUGAACCUCUAUGUGAGAUUUGAUGAUGAAAGCUUUGAUCGCUUGCUUUGGUCAGCCAAGGAACCUUCGGACAGCUGGCUCAUAGCCAGCUUGGACUUGCAAAACAGUUCCAAGAAAUUCAAGAUUUUAAUAGAAGGUGUGGUAGGACAUGGAAAUACAGCCAGCAUUGCACUCUUUGAAAUCAAGAUAACAACUGGCUACUGUAUCGAAUGUGACUUUGAAGAAAAUCAUCUCUGUGGCUUUGUGAACCGCUGGAACCCCAACGUGAACUGGUUUGUUGGAGGAGGAAAUAUGCGGAACUCCCACUCCAUUCUUCCGCAGGACCACACCUUCAGGAGUGAACUGGGCCACUACAUGUAUGUGGACUCGGUUUACGUCACGCAUUACCAGGAGGUGGCACAGCUCAUCUCCCCGGUGACCACGGCCCCCAUGUCUGGCUGCUUGUUGUUUUAUUACCAACUCCAGCAGGGGAAUGACAGCAUCUUCUCCGUGUAUACGAGGGAUGUGGCUGGCCUGUAUGAGGAGAUCUGGAAAAUGGGCAAUCCAGGGAAUGCUGACUGGAACCUCGCUGAGGUGGAGUUCAGCGCCCCGUACCCCAUGGAGGUUAUUUUUGAAGUUGCCUUCAAUGGUCCCAAAGGAGGGUAUGUUGCCCUGGAUGAUAUUUCUUUCUCUCCUGUUCCCUGCCAGAAUCAGACAGAGCGUCCUUUUAGUGCCGUAGAAGCAAGCUGCAAUUUUGAGGAAGAUCUCUGCAACUUUUACCAAGACAAAGAAGGUCCAGGCUGGACCCGAGUGAAAGUAAAACCAAACAUGCAUCGGGCGGGAGACCACACUUCAGGCUUAGGGUAUUUCUUGAUGGCCAACACAAAGUUUACGUCUCAGCCUGGCUAUAUUGGAAGGCUCUACGGUCCCUCCCUGCCAGGAAACUUGCAGUAUUGUUUGCGUUUUUACUAUGCCAUCUAUGGGUUUUUAAAAAUGAGUGACACCCUAGCAGUUUAUAUCUUUGAAGAGAACCACAUGGUUCAAGACAAGAUCUGGUCUGUGCUGGAGUCCCCAAGGGGCGUUUGGAUGCAAGCUGAAAUCACCUUUAAGAAGCCCAUGCCUACCAAGGUGGUUUUCAUGAGCCUGUGCAAAAGUUUCUGGGACUGUGGACUUGUAGCCCUGGAUGACAUUACAAUAGAAUUGGGAAGCUGCUGGUCUCCAGAGAAGCUUCCAACUCCACCUGGAGAGUGUACUUUCGAACAAGAUGAGUGUGCAUUUACUCAGGAGAGAAGGAACCGGAGCAGCUGGCACAGGAGGAGGGGAGAAACUCCUACCUCCUACACAGGACCAAAGGGAGAUCACACUACUGGGGCUACUACAUGUACAUCGAGGCUUCCCACAUGGUGUACGGACAAAAAGCACGACUCUUGUCCAGGCCUCUACGAGGAGUCACUGGAAAACACUGCUUGACCUUUUUCUACCACAUGUAUGGAGCAGGGACUGGCCUCCUGAAUGUUUAUUUGAAAAAGGAAGGUGGCAGUGAAGAGUCCCUCUUAUGGAGAAGAAGAGGUGAGCAGAGCAUCUCCUGGCUACGAGUGCUGAUUGAAUACACCUGUGAGAGGCGACACCAGAUAAUUUUUGAAGCCAUUCGGGGAGUGUCAAUAAGAAGUGAUAUUGCCAUUGAUGAUGUUAAAUUUCAAGCAGGAUCCUGUGCGGAAAUGGAAGAUAUGACUCAGCACUCAUCAGGAUAUUCUGAGGACUUAAAUGAAAUUGAGUAUUAAGGAAUGAUCUGAAUCGGAUUAACUAAACAAAGCCAUACCUCUCUUCAAUCAAAAUGAAAAAAAAAAAGACAAAUGAAUACUGGACAGUCUUAACCGUUUCAUAAGUUAUAAAAUGACUUCAGAGCACUCUUUUUCAUUACUUUUGCAAAAAAUACUGACUCAGGGCUUUUUUUUUUUUUUUUUCUUAUUUUUUGCAUAUGACAACUGUUACUAGAAGUACAGGCUGCUGGUUUUGCCUAGAUCAUUCAUCUUAAUUUUGGUACCAGUUAAAAAUACAAAUGUACUAUAUUGUAGUCAUUUUAAAGUAUGCAAAUAAAGGGCACAAUCAAAAUGAGAUGUGCUCACUUAAAUCUGCAUUCAGUGAAUGUACUGGGAGGAGAAUAGGUCUUGUGGGUUUUCUUUUGAAGUUCAAGUAUCAUAAAUAUUUUUGAAGUAAUAAUGUGAGGUGUCAGUAAUGUCUGCAGAAUGAAUGCAGCUUUUCACAGUAACAAGUUAAUCUAAGAAAAUAAAGUCUUAUUUUCUAUGUUUUAUUCAUAGAAAUGGAGUAUUAAUUUUUAAAUAUUUUUACCAUAUGUGAUAACAAAGGAUCUUUCAUGAAUGUCCCAAGGUAUAAGUCAGUAUUAAUUAAUGCUGUAUUACAAGGCAAUGCUACCUUCUUUUUUCCCCCUUUAAACCACUUUUGAAAGUCACUCUGAACACUUGGAUAGAAAUUGCACUCUUUUUUUGUAAAGCAAGCUUAAAAAUGUUUAUGUACACAUACCCCCAGAUUUUUAUAAUGGGUUAAACAAUUUUACUGAUGUUUUAAAUAAAUGUUUUGGUAAUAUUUUGAGUAAUAUGAAUUCAAGCAGAUAUACUAGACUACUGCCUUUUAUUUACAUGUUUAGAAAAUUGUAUAUACAUAUUUGUAUACCCAAACAGCUGUUAUGAAAUUACGAUUACCUAAUAAAAAAUAAUUUGAAAAUCU